CAGCUGGACCGUCCACCACCCGUUAUGUCAUCACAAACGGCAAUGUCAUUCUCAACCCUGGGAUCCCUGGUGGAGUUUUACAGGAGAUCCUCUGGAAACAUGGUGUAAACAAGGCGGUGGAAUGGAGCACUGACAGGAUACAGGAAUUUCGUGAUUUUAAAGGGAGGACAUCCUUGAACACCACGACUGGAGAAAUCACAAUCAGACAGCUGACCAUGCAGCUCAGUGGGGUGUAUGAGGCAGAGUGUGUGAUUGGUAAAAAAAUACAGACCUUUCAGCAGAGAGUGGAAGUCAUUGACCCAGUAUCACAACCUGACGGUCACCUGUGAAUUGAACGGUACCGUGGCAACAAUUCACUGCAGUGCUGAGGGUCCACUGUUAGAAUACCGCUGGUCUUGGCCUGACCACCAGGGGGAGAUGUGGAGCCAGGAGCAGACUGGACAGCACUACAACAUCACAUCCCCAGAGUCAGUCAGCUACACCUGUGAGGCCAGGAACCCAGUCAGUAAGAAGACACAGACAUACAACAGCAUCGACUGCCUGGCCACAGGUAAUCCUGUGAUCUACAUCUACACUGGUAUUGGUGCAGGUGUCUUGUUGUUGGUCGCUGUUGUGGUCUGGCUCGUCAAGAAGCGUUCCAAAGAUUUGCGGAGCACAGGGAAUGCCAGCCAUCUUGAAGAGGAUCGAGAGAAGGUGGUGGCAAUCAGCCAGGCAGAGAUUGUGGAAGAGGAGAAUAAGCUAUUACUAGAUGAAGAACUAAAGGACAGGGUCAAUCAGAUCAACCAGGCCAGUGAGGCUGUGAAAACUGGAGAUGGUGAGGGAGAGAAGAAACCAUUACUAGACAAGGCAGGAUCCACUGAUACAGAUGUUAUUGUGAGUAAUAUCCCGUUCAAACUGAACAACCAGAAUCAGGUUUGGGGUUGGGAGUCCGGAAAGAGACAGAGGGAAGAAAAAGAGCAGAACACAGAAUCCAAACAGAACAUGAACGUUACCUUGGGGACUGUUACCCAAGAUUCUGUCCAAACUGCUCCUCCAAAACCACCUCGGAGCAGCCUUAACUAUAAUUCACCGUACCCACAGACUCUGGAGACACAGCACAGCAGAGAGCAUCAUGGGAGAGGAACUGACCAAAGCAUGGCUGGUUAUGGCACAGAGAGAGAGGGAGCGGGAGAUGGACAGCUUAUGCCCCAGAAAGUCCUAAUCUUAGACACAGAGGAGGAGAGUGGAGGAAAGGAGGAGGGGACAAGAGAGGAUGGAGAAGAUGUUGAGAAGGUAGGAGGAGAUGAUUCAGUGACAGAGGAGGGAGAGGGGCAAGAAGAUACAGAUAGGAGAGAUGAUGGAGGAGAAAUAAAUGGACAGGAGAGAGAGACUGAAAAUAAUGAAGAAGAGCAGGUGAAAGGAGAGGGAGAAGAAAGAGGGAAGAAAGGAGAAGAGACACAGAAGGGAGAGAAAAGAAAGAGCCCAACUUCUCCCAAACAAACACUCCCCCAAAAAGCCCCCCCACCACCUCUCGCCCCAAAACCAUCAUCUAUAAGACAUGUUAACCAGAUGGGUGUAGAACAAGGAAGUGUAGUGAAGACAAUGGAAACCCAGAGGAGCAGUGGUCAGGUAGACAGAGGGAGAGGAAGACCUGACCUAUCAGGUCUGAGGAGACCCACUAGCUCAGUGUCAGACAGUACAGACACUCCUGAUAGAAGCAGUCCAGGAUUGUCAGCUCUUCCUAUAGCCACAGCAUUUAGUCCAAAGGUGGAAAGGGGUACUCUAUCCAAUCCAGUAAAGGCCAGUUCAGGUGCACCCUCCAGACCAGGAGACACCAGUUCAGGUGCACCCUCCAGACCAGGAGACACCAGUUCAGGUGCACCCUCCAGACCAGGAGACACCAGUUCAGGUGCACCCUCCGGACCAGGAGACACCAGUUCAGGUGCACCCUCCGGACCAGGAGACACCAGUUCAGGUGCACCCUCCGGACCAGGAGACACCAGUUCAGGUGCACCCUCCGGACCAGGAGACACCAGUUCAGGUGCACCCUCCGGACCAGGAGACACCAGUUCAGAUACAACUAGUACAGCAAUAGAGAGUAGCUCAGAUACUCUGUCUACGACAGAGGAAAAUAUACCAACCAGUAAAGCUACAGCCUCUGUACCAGGAGAAACCAGUUGAAAAGCACUUGUUGAAAAAGUUUGUUAAACAAAAAUGUUAGGCUCUGUACGGGGAUGCUUUGUUUCUCUUAUAUUUAGACAAUUCUAUUCAAGGGUAUUUAAAACCAAAUACCUUUAGACUUUUACAGCAGUCAUUUUCUAUUAAAGUAUCUUUACCCUUAGUCAAGUAUGACUUGUGGGUACUUUUUCACCACUGUAUUAUAGCACAUCAACAUAAUGUAUUGUGUUGGUACAGUAUACAGUACGUUUUUUAUACCAACAUACAUUUUGUAUUUUUAGGUGCAUUUGAUGAAGAAAAACAUUUCAUUAAGAGCUUACAUGAUCCUUUACAUGGUGUGAGGGCUGAUACUUUGCUCUAUAAAAACAAGACAUAUUUCAAAUGUUAAUAUUAAAAAAAGGGUUGUGAGAAAAAGUUGCUUUUGUCCCGACUUUCAAUAAUGUCUGAGGCGUAGGCCUCUAUAAAAAAGAAGAAAUAACCCUAUCACUUUGACUUCAUGGAUCUCACUUGGCUGACCAAGGACGAUCAAUUCCAACAGUAAUAGUAUUAGUCACCAUCUUCUGUUGCAUUUGUGACAGAUAAUGAAUGAAUGGUAAGUUACUAUAUUUCCUGCAGGUAUUCAUAAUUAUAGUCUAGACUCACUCAAGUGAAACAAAGAGGAGAUGUCAGUCGAGUGUAAACUGACAACAGGUGUUUUGACACAGCCAUCCAGCUAGCGACAGUUGAACUUUUUUUCAUUAAUGUUUGUUAGGGAGCAGACUAUUGAGCCGAGUUAAGGGUGUGCAUUAUAAGAACAUGUGAAUGUAUACUGGGCUGUUAUUACUGGGUAGGACGAGAUGUUAACACUCCACUAAAGACUAUGACAUGUUAAGAGUGAUGAUGCAACCUACUGGAAUUAUAACACUAUUUCCAAGGGUGUAACUCUGCUCUUUUCCCAUAGCAGCUGCAGCUUCACCAACACGUUAUGUCAUCACAAACAGGAAUGUCAUCAUCAAUCCUGGGAUCCCUGGUGGAGUUCUACAGGAGAUCCUCUGGAAACAUGGAGUAAACAAGGAGGUGGAAUGGAGCAUCCCGACGGGAUACAGGAAUUUCGGGAUUUUAAAGAAAAUACAUCCUUGAACACCACAACAGGAGAAAUCACAAUCAGACAGCUGACCAAGCAGCUCAGUGGGGUGUAUGAGGCAGAGUGUAUGAUUGGUGGGGAAAUACAGACCUUUCAGCAGAGAGUGAAAUUCAUUGUCAUUGUCUCCUAAAUGGCAUUUCAGGACUUGUGAUCCAAUGAUGGAUCGGGACCUAUUUUUAGGUAUCAGCUAAAGAUGGGGAUGUAACACAUUUUUUAAAUGUAAUCUUUAUUUAACUAGGCAAGUCAAUUACGAACAAAUUCUUAUUUACAACGACAGCCUACUCCUAGCCCAACCUGGGCCAAUUGUGCACCACCCAAUCAUGGCCGGAUGCGAUACAGCUUGGAUUCGAACCAGGGACUGUAGUGACACCUCUUGCACUGAGAUGCAGUGCCUUAGACUGCUGCGCCACUCGGGAGGAAUAAAGGUCAAAGGUUCAAACACAAAAAGGUUGCCAAUGACUAUGUCAUGUGCUGUUAGAGUGCUGAACAAGAACCCUGGUUAGUCCAUACUUUUUAAAGACAUUUCUGUUUCUGAUUAUAUUUUUACUUGUUUUAUUAACAAACCCUAUAUUCAGCUCCAAAAGUCCCCGUGAUAAGAACACCAGUAUGAUAGCAGUCAUAUAUCAGAUGGGAGAACUAUGCAGGUUUGUGAGUAAAGAAACAAAGAGACAGUCACAGUUAAAUCUGACAUGUGUUUGUGUUGUUUCUACGUCAUUUCAACAUGACGUAGAGAGAGAGAGAGGGAAGUGACGAAAGAGAGUGAGGGAGAGGAAGAGAACGGGCUCAUCUCACCCCAUCUAAAGACCCAUCAGAUGUCACGUGCCAGUGAAGGAUACAGCCUGAACCACAAUCUAACACUCCCAACAGGUUCAGGAUAAACAGUGGGGGAACCGAGAUGACCAGGAGUUACAUGAGAGGAGUGACAAAAUAAAUGACUCAGAGACAAAGGGAGAGAGAGAUGAAGAGGAAAGGAGAGAAGUUGAUGGUGAGAGGGAGGGAGAGACAGAGGGAAGAUGAAAUGCAGAGAGAGAGGAAGAGGGAAAGGUAGAGGAGCAAGAAGAGACAUAGAACGAAGGGAAGGAAGAAGAGGGAUAUAGAAAAGAACAAGGUGACGAUCAACAACAGGAGGACAUCCACUCUGAGGUGGAGCCAGGGUCAGAGGUGCAAGAGAAGGAAUCCAGCAGAGCCACACACAACAGCCAGACUGACGAUCAGAGGUCUCCACCAACCCCUCAGAGAAGGGAUAAAGAUGGAGCGUGCAGAGAGAGGAGGUGAAAGAACUUAAGUUCUCCCAAACAAACACCUCCAUCCCGAAUUCCCAUACAUCAAGACCCCCACCACUUCUCGCCCCCAAAACCAUUAACUAUAAGACACUCAUUGCUAUCAGAUUGGUGUAGAACAAGGAAGUGUGUUGAAAACAAUGGAAACCCAGAGAAGCAGUGGUCAGGUGGACCGAGAGGGAGGAAGACCUGACCUAUCAGGUCUGAGGAGACCCACUAACUCAGUGUCAGACAGUACAGACACUCCUGACAGAAGCAGUCCAGGAUUGUCAGCUGGUCUCAGAGCCACAGCAUGUAGGUACAAUAUCUACUCCAGUAAACUACAGUUCAGGUGCACCUUCCAGAGCAGUAGACAUGAGCUCAGAUUCAAUUUGUACAGCAAUAGAGAGUAGCUCAGAUACUCUGUCUACUACAUAGAGAAGUAUAGGUAAAUCCUCUAUACCAACAGAGACCAGACCAGUACAGCUACAGCCUCUGUACCAGAAGAAACCAGUUGAAAAGCACUUGUUGAAUAUAUAGUUUGUUUGAUAAAUAUUUAGAUUCUGUACAGGGAAGUUUUGUUCCUCUUCAGUAAACUCAUCUCUCUUUUUCCCUCUCUUUUGGGUUAUUAUGUAUCAUAUUGUUAUCCUGUAUGGGCGGUCAUGUUUAGCCUAGGCUACUAUGGUAUUCAACUACGUAUACUGAACCGAAAUGUCAAAGCAACAUGUUUCAAGAGCUGAAAUAUAAGAUUCCAGAAACGUUCCAUGUGCCCAAAAAAGCUUAUUUCUCUCAAAUGCUGUGCACCAAUUAGUUUACAUCCGUUAGUGAGCUUUUCUCCUUUGCCAAGAUAAUCCAUCCACCUGACAGGUGUGACAUAUUAAGAAGCUGAUUAAACAGCAUGAUCAUUACACAGGUGCACCUUGUGUUGGGGACAAUAAAAGGUCACUCUACAAUGUGCAGUUUUGUCACACAACACAAUACCACAGAUGUCUCAAGUUGAGGGAGCGUGCAAUUGGCAUGCUGACUGCAGGAAGGUCAACCAGAGCUUUUGCCAGAUAAUUGAGUGUUCAUUUCUCUACCAUAAGCCACCUCCAACAUAAUUUUAGAGCAGACCACCUGGCUCCCACUUGGGCCUGACUCCCUUCCAGGCCCACCCCUGCGCCUCUACCCAGUAAUGGGAAAUCCAUAGAUUAGGGCCUUAUUGAUUUAUUUAAAUUGACUGAGUUCCUUAUAUGAACUGUAAUUCUGUAAAAUCAUUGAAAUUGUUGCAUGUUGCGUUUAUAUUUUUGUUCAAUAUAUAUUGUGAAUUAUAAUGAAAUAUUUAUCCAUACAAUAAGAUGGAAAACAUGUAUUAUAUGUUUUGAGGAAAAUAUAUUUAAUAUUGUGAAUGUUUUAGUGUGCAUGCCAUAUAGGCAUAUGGAUGAAUGGCUAUAUGCUGUUGAUUUGAAAUCUCUCUUACACUCAGUGGACAGGAAAAUUAAAUACACUAUAGUUACCUUUAAAUAUUUCAGUGUUGCCAAGUUUUGUUACAUUUUAGCAGAGAUUCUAUCAAUUUUAAAUUCUAUAUAUGUAAUUCUGUGCGUGGUAGCCAAUUAUACACACACGGAGGCGCCAAAGACCAGCUAUGAGUAGGACUACAAAUAUUCCAAAGGGGUUAGAAAAAUGCUUAUUAAACAUAUAAACAUAAUGCAAUGUGUUUGUAUACCAUAUGAUUCCAUUGCAGCUAUUAAACAUAAUUUACAAGUUAAAUUAAACUUUAUUUUAUUUUCCACCAAGAGGUCAUGAAUAGGGAGGAACUAAACUACAUUUUACUUUCACUUUCACAGCCUCAUGAAAUACAAUAUCAGACGUAGGCUAGGCUAUAAACCACAUAAUGGUUUAGCAUAUCUCAUUUGAACUUUUAUUUAUUAUCUAAACAAACUAAUUAGCAAAUAUGCCCAAACUAACGCUCAUCGGAUUGUGCUUCUGGCUUUAUGUGGCGCAAAAGUUGGUUUCCGGAG
rnacentral:lncRNA from 13 species